UCAUUCUUGACAUCACCAGCAGACAAUGCCCUCCACUCCUCUUCCUCCUUCGUCACCUUCCCCAAUUUCUCUGGAUCCAAGAUUCUCUUCCCCAGCACUGCAGCCCUAGAAUGUUCACCAGCAUCCUUGGCCCCACCCCACUGACGCCAGUAGCUGUUCCUUCCACAGUCAUGACAAUCAAAAAUGUCAAAAUUGUCACCCUUGACAAAUGUCCCCUCCGAGGGGAGGUGGGAGUGGGAUCAGCUCUGGUUGAGGACCAGUGCUCUAGCUCAGUCUACCCAGAGAAUCCUGUCUGAAGAAAGAGGAGAUUAAUUUAGUGCUCAGCCAGUGAGAGUGAGAACGACUGGUUACAAAAUAGUUACUUUAAUCAGAAAGUAUAGAGUUAGAACUGAAAAUGUAAGAAGAGGAAACAGAAGGAAUCAAAGGCCUGAGGGAUAACUUGAUAGCAGCCCAUCAUUCCCCAGGGACGCAACUGGAAGGUGUGAAAGGUCUUCGACACUGGCUGGUCAUUAAAAUUUAGGCUGGCCCUGGGUUAAAUGGACGAUUUCCUGGAAAACAGCUGGUCGAGCUCCCCCCACUAUGUGUCCCUGAAAUAAACAUCCCCUUCAGAGAAA